AUACACCAUAUACCACCACAGUACUGUGGCAACAAGAUGACAAUGAGUAAAAAAAACAAAAAAAAGAGGCUAAUGAGUUCAUGUAACAGUAUCCUUGAUUGGCUUUAGUACAAAUGCUAAUAUUUGAUUGGUCUAUGGCAAUAGACAAACUGAUAUGUUAUGCCACAGUACUGUGGCAGUAGCCAUUGCCAUCAUAUAUUUAAGAUACU